rnacentral:rRNA from 1 species
GUGCACGCUGGCGGUAGGCCUAACACAUGCAAGUCGAACGGCAGCACAGUAAGAGCUUGCUCUUACGGGUGGCGAGUGGCGGACGGGUGAGGAAUACAUCGGAAUCUACUUUUUCGUGGGGGAUAACGUAGGGAAACUUACGCUAAUACCGCAUACGACCUACGGGUGAAAGCAGGGGAUCUUCGGACCUUGCGCGAUUGAAUGAGCCGAUGUCGGAUUAGCUAGUUGGCGGGGUAAAGGCCCACCAAGGCGACGAUCCGUAGCUGGUCUGAGAGGAUGAUCAGCCACACUGGAACUGAGACACGGUCCAGACUCCUACGGGAGGCAGCAGUGGGGAAUAUUGGACAAAGGGCGCAAGCCUGAUCCAGCCAUACCGCGUGGGUGAAGAAGGCCUUCGGGUUGUAAAGCCCUUUUGUUGGGAAAGAAAAGCAGCAGGUUAAUACCCCGCUGUUCCGACGGUACCCAAAGAAUAAGCACCGGCUAACUUCGUG